rnacentral:lncRNA from 1 species
AAUUAGCGGGACUCACAGUGAAAUGAUCAUACAGGGAUUGGUAAAUUUCCUCAAAUAUCAAUUUCUGCUUGUCUUUUUCUAAUGUCAGAUAUUUUUCCAGAGGAAAAUCCAUUCAAUGUAUAGUUUAAUUAAGGCAGGAGUACAGGGUCUGGAGGCAGGGAACCUAAGGCCAAUUCAUGCUGACUUCUUAGUUUGAGGAGUGGAUACUUGAGGCCAGAAUGUCAUGCAUGGAUGGUGAGGGAUGGGUCCUGGGGAGGCAAAACCUUUCCAGCAGAGAAGAGGGAGUUCUACUGAGGUCUCCUAGGGAGUGUUGGCUCAUUUAGAGAAGAGUAUGACCGCCAGUUUGCAAACUUGUUCGAUGUCCUUUAAAAGAAGGAAGUCACUAAUAUGAAGGCUUAUUUUCAAGGCGAAUCUCUCCAAUUUCUUUUCAUCUCAGCACUUUGGGAGGCUGAGGCACGAGGAUCUCUUGAGCCCAAGAAUUUGAGACCAGCCUGGACAACAUAGAGAGAUCCCAUCU